CCCGGUAAACGGCGGCCGUAACUAUAACGGUCCUAAGGUAGCGAAAUUCCUUGUCGGGUAAGUUCCGACCUGCACGAAUGGCGUAAUGAUGGCCAGGCUGUCUCCACCCGAGACUCAGUGAAAUUGAACUCGCUGUGAAGAUGCAGUGUACCCGCGGCAAGACGGAAAGACCCCGUGAACCUUUACUAUAGCUUGACACUGAACAUUGAGCCUUGAUGUGUAGGAUAGGUGGGAGGCUUUGAAGCGUGGACGCCAGUCUGCGUGGAGCCAACCUUGAAAUACCACCCUUUAAUGU
rnacentral:rRNA from 1 species